rnacentral:lncRNA from 1 species
AUGCCACAGAACGAAUAUAUUGAAUUACACCAUAAACACUAUGGAUACCGUUUGGAUUACCAUGAGAAGAAAAGAAAGAAGGAAAGCUGAGAGGCUUAUGAACGAGAGGCUCAUGAACGUUCAAAGAAGGCAAAGCAAAUGAUUGGUCUGAAGGCUAAGCUUUACCUUAAACAGUGUCAUGCUGAGAAAAUACAAAUGAAAAAGACUAUCAAGAUGCAUGAAAAGAGAAACACCAAACAAAAGAAGGAUGAAAAGACUCCACAGGGAGCAGUACCUGCUUAUCUGCUGGACAGAGAGGGACAAUCUCGAGCCAAAGUACUUUCCAAUAUGAUUAAACAGAAAUGAAAAGAGAAGGUGGGAAAACGGGAAGUCCCUCUGACUAAAGUACAUGCCCAGGGAGAAACAGACGUAUUAAAAGUUGUUUGAACAGGAAAGAGAAAGAAGAAGGCAUGGAAGAGGGUGGUUACUAAACUCUGCUUUGUCGGAGAUGGCUUUACAAGAAAACCACCUAAAUAAGAAAGACUGAUCAGGCCAAUAUGCAUUUCAAGAAAGCCCAUGUAUUACAUCUUGAACUGAAAGCCACCUUUUGCCCACCAAUACUUGGUGUAAAGAAGAAUCCCUCAUCCCCACCGUAUACAACUGUGGGUGUUAUUACCAAAGAUAUUGUCAUUGAGGUAAAUGUGAGCGAAUUGGGCCUUGUGACACAAGGAGGCAAAGUUAUUUGGAGAAAAUAUGCUCAGGUUACCAACAGUCCUGAAAAUGAUGGCUGCAUAAAUGCAGUCUUACUGGUUU